rnacentral:rRNA from 1 species
AUUGAACGCUGGCGGCAGGCCUAACACAUGCAAGUCGAGCGAGCGGCGGACGGGUGAGUAAUGUCUGGGAAACUGCCUGAUGGAGGGGGAUAACUACUGGAAACGGUAGCUAAUACCGCAUACCAUCAGAUGUGCCCAGAUGGGCUUAGCUAGUAGGUGGGGUAAGGGCUCACCUAGGCGACGAUCCCUAUCUGGUCUGAGAGGAUGACAAGCCACACUGGAACUGAGACGCGGGCCAGACUCCUACGGGAGGCAGCAGUGGGAAAUAGUGCACAAUGGGCGCAAGCCUGAUGCAGCCAUGCCGCGGGUGUGAAGAAGGCCUUCGGGUUGUGAAGCACUUUCAGCGAGGAGGCGUUACUCGCAGAAGAAGCACCGGCUAGCUCCGUGCCAGCAGCCGCGGUAAUAC